UACGAAGGGGGCUAGCGUUGUUCGGAUUUACUGGGCGUAAAGCGCACGUAGGCGGAUCGUUAAGUCGGGGGUGAAAUCCUGGAGCUCAACUCCAGAACUGCCUUCGAUACUGGCGAUCUUGAGUCCGGAAGAGGUGAGUGGAACUCCUAGUGUAGAGGUGGAAUGCGCAGAUAUCAGGAAGAACACCCGUGGCGAAGGCGGCUCUCUGGGACGGUACUGACGCUGAGACGCGAAAGCGUGGGGAGCGAACAGG
rnacentral:rRNA from 1 species